AUGGGCUCUCAUUGCCUCUCUUGUGCAGGAGGGUGGCAGUCCACCAGCAGCAGCCUUGGGGAGAAGCCCAGGUUCCCAGAAAACAGCCUGCCAGCCGUGAGAGAGGAGAAGCGGCUGUUGCGGAGAAAGAGGCAAACGAACCGGCUUUUUGACAGUCAGCUGAUUUGGGGCUUCAAACUGGACCCAUUCGGGCGCUGUUGGUUAUUUGAACCAGGGACCUCAAAGAGUGUUAAAUAUAAGAGAUAGGCAUGCUUGGAGUGUUUCUGAUGAAGUUAGGGUCCAAUUUGUUCCGUUUCAAUGGCAAGGAGAACGUGGCGAGGUUAAUGGAGGAAGGAGGGGAGGGAUUUCAUGCAAAGGAGUCAAAAAGGAUACAAAAAAACCACUGGAGAGGAUUUCAAGUUAAAAGGAAAGGAUACUUUUUAUUUAAGGAUUAGUAGUUACAAGAUCCUAAUUUGGACUUAACAGCCUUAUAACUACUGGGGGUUCAUGUUUACUGUGAUUAAUGAUCAAAUAUGACACUCCAAACCUGCUUUUUCAGUUUGAUGGUAUCUCAGCUAAAGAAUUUCAGGAGUCCUUCAAUUUGGAGCACUGCGAAGUCACACUCUCAUUCACAAGAUGCACCGAGACAAGUAGACAUGCCAUGACCUCAAGGGGUCUCUCCAGCUGCCUGUUCCUGACAUGCCUCAUUACUGGGAAAUGACUGCAGAUGUCAUAUCCCAGUUCCUAAAUCUGUGGCAAGAUAGAGUGCAUCUACACUAUAGAUUUAAAACAAAUUGACAUCACUUUAGCCGUUUCUCUGCCUUCACUACCAAAUAGUGCUGUUGUCUCACUAGAAUCCUGCCUCCUGUCAUGCCACCACAAAAGCGGAAUGGACUCAUCACACCAAGGUAGGUGAUGGGAACAUUGUGGAAUUGCAAGCUAUUAACGGGUUUUGCUCAUCAAUAGGAAGAAAUGGGGGAAUCAUUGGAAGAAGCCAGACCAGCAGCAGGAUGUACAUGUCAUCAUGCAAUAGGAAAAGCCACCUGCUUAAUGCCAGUUUGCUUGUCUUCUGCAAUAAAGCCUGAAGCUUUAUUUCCUCAGCUAAACUUUGUGGCAUGGUAGUGCUUUGGGCUGUAUGUUGCUCACUUUUUGCUAUGUAUAU
rnacentral:lncRNA from 1 species